AUGUAGGACUCUAAGGAAGAGAGCCAGGACCAGCACUGAAAAUCAUCGUGCUAGGGAACAGCACCUCCCGGAAGACCUCCUUAGCUACAGAUUUUGCUCAAAAAACUUUCAGGAACCAGUACAAACUAUAGGACUGGAUUUCUUUUGAGAAGGAUAACAUUGCCAGGAAACUUGAAUGUUACUCUCUAGUUUGGGAUACAGGAGGCCGGACAAUAAGAAGCAAAAUGUUGGACAGAUCCAUCUAUGGAGCACAGGAAAUCAUCUUGGUAUAUGGUAUUACAAGUUAUCAAAGCUUUGAGAAUUUUUAGAAGAUUAGUGAAGAAAGUGAGUGAAGAGUCAGAAACUCAGCCGCUGGUUACCUUAGUGGGCAAUAAAAUUGAUUUGGAGCAUAAUCAAACAGUAAAACCUGAAAAACACUUACGGUUUUGCCAGGAAAAUGGUUUUAAUAGCCACUUUGUUUCAGCCAAGGCAAGAGACUCUGUCUUCCUGUGUUUUCAAAAAGUUGUUGCUGAAAUCCUUGGAAUCAAAUUAAACAAAGCAGAAAUAGAACAGUCACAGAGGGUGGUAAAGGCAGAUAUUGUAAACUACAACCAGGAACCUAUGGCAAGAGCUGUUAACCCUUCUAGAAGCUCUGUGUGUGCAGUUGGGUGA
rnacentral:lncRNA from 1 species